rnacentral:rRNA from 1 species
AUUGAACGCUGGCGGCAGGCCUAACACAUGCAAGUCGAACGGUAGCACAGAGAGCUUGCUCUCGGGUGACGAGUGGCGGACGGGUGAGUAACGUCUGGGAAACUGCCCGAUGGAGGGGGAUAACUACUGGAAACGGUAGCUAAUACCGCAUAACGUCACAAGACCAAAGUGGGGGACCUUCGGUCCUCACACCAUCGGAUGUGCCCAGAUGGGAUUAGCUAGUAGGUGGGGUAAUGGCUCACCUAGGCGACGAUCCCUAGCUGGUCUGAGAGGAUGACCAGCCACACUGGAACUGAGACACGGUCCAGACUCCUACGGGAGGCAGCAGUGGGGAAUAUUGCACAAUGGGCGCAAGCCUGAUGCAGCCAUGCCGCGUGUAUGAAGAAGGCCUUCGGGUUGUAAAGUACCUUCAGCGGGGAGGAAGGCGGUGGAGUUAAUAACUUCACCGAUUGACGUUACCCGCAGAAGAAGCACCGGCUAACUCCGUGCCAGCAGCCGCCGUAA